CUGCACCAAUGGCCUCCAUGCUCUCCUAUGAAAGCCUAAACCACGCCGUGGCUGGAGCAGUGGGAAGCAUGACAGCAAUGACAGUGUUUUUUCCCCUGGAUACAGCUAGACUUCGACUUCAGGUUGUUGAGAGAGAAAAUCCAAAAUUACACACAUGGUGCUUCUGGAGAUCAUUAAAAAGAAGGACUCCUGGCACUAUAUUGAGGGUGGUUUCCAGCAAUUUCCAGUUUCUACACUUUUAAUAGCCUCAAAGCAGUCUGGGUCAAAGGUCAACGUUCUACUACUGGUAAAGAUCUGGUAGUUGGGUUUGUUGCAGGGGUGGUUAACACGUGGCUGACAACUCCACUCUGGGUGGUAAACACCAGAAUAAAGCUGCGAGGGGCAAAAUUUAGUACUGAAGAUUGUACCAACAAACUACAAAGGUAUCAUUGAAGCUUUUUAUCAGAUCAUUCGAGGCGAAGAAAUCUUGGCUUAUUGGAAUGGCACAUUUUCCUCAUUGCUGUUGAUCUUCAAUCCUGCCAUCCAGUUCAUGUUUUAUGAAGGUUUUAAACGGCAGCUUUAAAAGAAAUGGAUGAAGCUUUCUUCUUUGGAUGUGUUCAUCACUGGUGCAGUAGCCACCGCAAUUGCCACCAUCACCUAUCCCAUGCAGACGAUAUAGUCAACUCUGAGGUUUUGGCAUCAUAGACCAAACCCAGAAAACAGAACACUGGGAAGUCUUCAGAAUGUUCUCUAUCUUCUUCACCAAUGAGUAAGAUGUUUUGGAAUAAUGAGACUCUACUACAAAGGCCUUGAAGCCAAAUUGCUGCAGACAGUCCUCACCGCUGCUUUCAGGUUCCAUGUUUAUGAGAAACUGAAGCUGCCACCUUCAUAGUUAUGGAGCUGAAGAGUGCACACAAACACAGAGACGCCUUCGCAUGAAAAAUUUCGAAGAUGCUCAACAGGGAGAUUUCCUCCUGAGUGAAGUGAUUCUCCUUUGACUCUGGCUCCUGCCACAGCAAAUGUUAUUCUCAUUGGCUUGAAAAGCAUUCAAGGGUGAACACGGAGUGUGGCCAACUGGACCUGCUGUCACCUUAAUUAUUAUGCUGGCUGGUUGGAUUUUGGGCUGGCAGUUGGACUAAUAUGAAAAAAAAAUUGUUGAAAAUCUAUAAAUGAAAGUUUGUGUUUAUUGGUUUUCUUAAGAGAAAUGGACUCUUUUGCUCUCGUGUGUAAUCUUUUCUAUUUCAAUUUUUCUUAAAUAUACCAGCUGUUCUCUUUCCCUGAACUCUCCCCCAGGUUCUAGGACAAAUUGAAUAACAUGUAAUUCUCCUCAAA